AGCCGGAAGACGAGCCUGGCCCCAAGGUGGACGGGGCGGACGAUGAAAUCUAUGUCCACGCAGCAGUGGGACUGCGGGGUCCCGUGCUAGGUCCGUGGGCAGCUUUCCUGAGGACCUGCCAUAGUGUUUCCCGUCCUGGCUGGGCCAGCUGACCUUCCCGCCCACAGCGUACAGAAGUCCCAGGUAGUCACAUCUUCCCAGACGACCUGUUCACGCUUGAAAACACUCCGCGUCCUACGAGGAGGGAGGUGAUAGCUCGUUGUGCCUUUGCUUUGCCUUGCCGUUGUGGUGGGUGACUUUGGGAAACGUUCCGUGUGUGUGCUGCUGUCUGUUGUCUUCUUGGACGGAGGCGGUCUCCCAGGCUUCCGCUCACCUACACCU